GGUUUACAGGGUGACGCUGGGUUUUCUUCACAUUUCCUUCCACAAAGCAGCAGCACAAAAGAGCGCUGGACUUGCGGCUAGUCGGAGCUCUGCGUCCACCCGCCCAUGUGACCUGAUCCGCCCCUCGCCUACUUCCAGAGCCCGUGGAAGCGGAGAAGUUGAUGGAAGAUGUUGUCCCCACAUUCCUGCGUGGUGCCGAUUCACACUCCUGUGUGGGGCGGAGAACACCAGCUCGCUCUACGGUAUCAAACAUCUCUCCAGCUGUGCACAGCCUUUUGGCUCCUUGGUUCUUGGCCAGAAGAUGGAACCUGACAUACCUCAGGAAGCACGGCCUCUGGAAGGUGCCCCUCUGCAGCAGUGAGGGGGUUCCUAGGACCUCACUGCCGAAGAUGCUGAAGCAUGUGAGAACUGCUGUACCCCGCCAAACGGAGGGGCAGGAGGAAAAGGCCACUGAGAUUCUUUCAAGUCCACAUCAACGGGUAUGAGUCUUUCUUCCGAAGCUGAUGAACGACACAAACGGUGGAGGAACCACUUCAGAUAUUUUUUAAGUCACCAUGAAGAAGUAUGAAUAUUUUUAUAGGCUUAUGCUUUACAAAUUGAAUUAACAAUCAUUAUCCCACUGAUUCUGCAAAGUACAGAUGAGAGGCAAAGAAAGACAAGGCAAAUAAAACUGGCCAGGGUAGUUUUUCCUCC
rnacentral:lncRNA from 1 species